rnacentral:rRNA from 1 species
UACGUAGGGAGCAAGCGUUGUCCGGAAUCAUUGGGCGUAAAGCGCACGUAGGCGGCCCUGUAAGUCCGCUGUGAAAGUCAAAGGCUCAACCUUUGAAAGCCGGUGGAUACUGCAGGGCUAGAGUCCGGAAGAGGCGAGUGGAAUUCCUGGUGUAGCGGUGGAAUGCGCAGAUAUCAGGAGGAACACCGAUGGCGAAGGCAGGUCACUGGGCCGCAACUGACGCUGAGGAGCGAAAGCAUGGGGAGCGAACAGG